rnacentral:rRNA from 1 species
GUGACGAAGCGACGCCGCGUGAGCGAAGAAGGCCUUAGGGUUGUAAAGCUCUGUCGAGGGUUAUGAAAUAUAGAUGGAAUAAUACUCCAUUUAUUUGACAAAGGCCCAAAAGGAAGUCACGGCUAACUCUGUGCCAGCAGCCGCGGUAAUACAGAGGUGGCAAGCGUUGUUCGGUAUUAUUGGGCGUAAAGAGCACGUAGGUGGUUUUGUAAGUCAGGUGUGAAAGCCUUCUGUUCAAAGGAAGAACGGCAUCUGAAACUGCAGAUCUUGAGUGUAGGAGGGGAGAGUGGAACUUCUGGUGGAGCGGUGAAAUGCGUAGAUAUCAGAAGGAACGUCGGCGGCGAAAGCGACUCUCUGGCCUAUUACUGACACUGAGGUGCGAAAGUUAGGGGAGCAAACGGGAUUAGAUACCCCGGUAGUCCUAACCGUAAACGAU